UACGUAGGUGGCAAGCGUUUGUCCGGAAUUAUUGGGCGUAAAGCGCGCGCAGGUGGUUCCUUAAGUCUGAUGUGAAAGCCCACGGCUCAACCGUGGAGGGUCAUUGGAAACUGGGGAACUUGAGUGCAGAAGAGGAAAGUGGAAUUCCACGUGUAGCGGUGAAAUGCGUAGAGAUGUGGAGGAACACCAGUGGCGAAGGCGACUUUCUGGUCUGUAACUGACACUGAGGCGCGAAAAGCGUGGGGAGCGAACAGG
rnacentral:rRNA from 1 species